AUAUGUGGCAUACGGGUCAGUAACACGUAGUCAACAAGCCCCGGGGACGUGGAUAACCUUGGGAAACUGAGGGUAAACCGCGAUAGGUCAUCACUUUUGGAAUGGGUAAUGACUUAAAUUUAUAUGGCCCCUGGAUUGGACUGCGGCCGAUCAGGCUGUUGGUGAGGUAAUGGCCCCCCAAACCUGUAACCGGUACGGGCUUUGAGAGGAGGAGCCCGGAGAUGGGCACUGAGACAAGGGCCCCGGCCCUAUGGGGCGCAGCCGGCGCGAAACCUUUGCAAUAGGCGAAAGCUUGACAGGGUUACUUUGAGUGAUUUCCGUUAAGGAGAUCUUUUGGCACCUCUUAAAAAGGGGCAGAAUAAGGGGUGGGCAAGUUUGGUGUCAGCC
rnacentral:rRNA from 1 species